UAAUACCUGCAGCUCAAGUAGUGGCCGCUAUUAUUGGGCCUAAAACGUCCGUAGCCUGUUUAGUAAAUGCUUGGGUAAAUUGUGUAGCUUAACUAUACGAAUACCGGGUAGACUGCUAAACUUGGGACCGGGAGAGGCUAGAGGUACUCCUGGGGUAGAGGUGAAAUUCUGUAAUCCUAGGGGGACCACCAGUGGCGAAGGCGUCUAGCUAGAACGGGUCUGACGGUGAGGGACGAAGCCCUGGGGCGCGAACCGGAUUAGAUACCCGGGUAGUCCAGGGUGUAAACGCUGCUUGCUUGAUGUUAGUUGGGCUCCGAGCCCAACUAGUGUCGGAGAGAAGUUGUUAAGCAAGCUGCCUGGGAAGUACGGUCGCAAGACUG
rnacentral:rRNA from 1 species